rnacentral:sRNA from 1 species
UAGAAAAAAUCAAAGGCUAAACGCGCAACGCUUUCGGUACCUGCAUCGUGCGGCAGCGCCUUUGUGACCUGCAUCGCGCAGG